rnacentral:rRNA from 1 species
AAAUUGAAGAGUUUGAUCAUGGCUCAGAUUGAACGCUGGCGGCAGGCCUAACACAUGCAAGUCGAACGGUAACAGGAAGCAGCUUGCUGCUUCGCUGACGAGUGGCGGACGGGUGAGUAAUGUCUGGGAAACUGCCUGUUGGAGGGGGAUAACUACUGGAAACGGUAGCUAAUACCGCAUAACGUCGCAAGACCAAAGG